rnacentral:lncRNA from 1 species
CACUUCCUGAUAGAGCAGAGUCAUCCUGCCCUCUCGUGGGUGAGCAGGCACUCAGAGAUUCUGACCAGCUAGAAAUACUUUAGGGUUGAGAUUUGAUGUUCCUACAGCUCAUAUGGUUGUGAAGCCCAAGAGACUUACCACUUAAAGGAAGGUUUUAGAAGUUUGUGAGAGUUUUUGUAGAAAGCUGUUAUUUGUUAUGCAACAUUAAUAUCUUAGAGCAUUGGACAAAGCCUGUUUGGAAGAUGAUGUGUAAAAUUGAUAGUAUAUUAAAUUGAAUGUACCUUAUAUUAAAUUGUACGUUCCUUACUCUUUAAAGGGUUGAAAAACUACAGCUGUUGUUUUAGACACAAAUCAUGCAUAUCCAGCUGUGUUUCAGACAGUGGGAAGACACUGGAUACUGUAUAUCUUGUAGUGAGCAAGGUCCUUGACACAAUCUCUGCUAGACAGACAGAUCCAAGAAAGUGAUCAGAAAAACAGUGGGACCUGUGGGAAUAACAGGUCACGAGCAGCAUACAAACCUCAGCUCACAGCUAAUUGCUAGAGGCAUCCCUCACGGAGUGAUAUCUGUACCAAGAAUGUUUAGCAUCCUUAUUGAUGACCUUGACAAUGGGACAGACUGCACAACCAACGAAUUUUCAGUCACAAUCAAACUGGGGAGGGAUAGUUGACCCACUGGAGCACAGGGCUGCUCUUUUGGACAGAAAUUGGCUGAAGAAAUGGAUUGAUGAGAAACCCUCAAUGUUCAAUCCAAGGCAUGUGCUAGGUGCUGUAACUGAGAUGAAAUAAAUCCAUUCAGCAAUGCAGCCUGAAGGUCAACCUAAUGCAAAAUAGCUUUGCAGAAAUAGACUGGAUGUCCUGGUUGACACUAAAGUGAACACAAUUCAGCAAUGUGUCCUUGUGACUCGGGUGACCAACGGCAGUCUGCACCUUACUAAUGAGAAUGUACUUGUGGAAAGUGAUUAUUCUCCAGAUGCAGCAUUUGUGGGACCAUCCCUGGGGCACGAUGUCAAGUUUUGGACUCUUUAGUACAACUGAGGAGGUACUGAUAUAUUGAAGUCCAUGGGAAGACCACCAAGAGCACAAAUCAUACAGGGAGAGGACAAGAGGCCCUGUUUCUACCUACAGUAAUCUAAUGAAAAGACAGAGAGAAUGAAUGGAACCAGACUCUUCUCAAAUAAGCUGAAAUGGGACAAAAAAGUAACUGAGACUAAUUAGAACAUAGGAAAUUUAUAUUACAUACUAGGAAAAAAAAAAUCACCAUAUGCAUGUUCCAAAACUGGAACAUGUGCCCAGAUAAGUUGUGGAAUCCCCAUCCUUGUUAAUAUUCAGGGCUCAUUUGUUGCACCCUGAAGAGGGGUUGCACCUGAGGACUCCCAGAGGUCCCUUCAAACCUGAAUUAUCCUGUGAUGCUGUGAUGUGGAGGAAUGUUUGAAAGUGUCCAACUUCUGUAUUUUAAAAUUUCUGAGAAAUGUAUCAGGCUCUAACAUUAUCAGUUUGUAACCUGCUUUUUUGACAUCAGAGGAAGAUAAUGCUGAAAAACUAUUGAAUGUGACUUAACAUGUGCUAAAAAUUAAUAUAACUUGUAUACAGAGAUAAUAGAUGUAGCUUAAGAAGAACUAUUUCCCUAACAGCAAAUGGGUUUAAACUGUGGUUACAGGAGCUGAAUGUGUUGCAAUUUAUGAUGGAAAUAGUUUCAGUUUUUCAGUUAGCACCUCUAUAUAGUUUAUGUUGAAUGGAAAGGAAGAUGUGAAAAACUGUGUGAAAUAACUGGUUUUCUCUAACUGAUUCUCAACUGGUCAGGUUGUCAGAGCUUCAUUCAAAAAUCUGUUUUCCAAUCUUAGUGCAAACUUUCAUGUUCAUAGUGACAUUUUCAAAAUUAAAAUCUAAAUUGUAGCUAUUUUUAGUCAAGUUACAUAUCUGUUACCAGACCAUAACUUAUCCAUUAAAAUUGUAUUAGUCUGA